AAUGAACGUUGGCGGCGUGGAUUAGGCAUGCAAGUCGAGCGAGAAACCUCCUUCGGGAGGUGGAAAGCGGCGAAAGGGAGAGUAACGCGUGGAUACCUGCCCUCGGGUUCGGGAUAGCUGCUGGAACGGCAGGUAAUACCGAAUGAUAUCUCCGGAUCAAAGGUGUGAUUCCGCCCGGGGAUGGGUCCGCGUCCUAUUAGCUAGUUGGUGAGGUAACGGCUCACCAAGGCAACGAUGGGUAGUGGGUGUGAGAGCACGACCCACCUCACUGGGACUGAGACACUGCCCAGACACCUACGGGUGGCUGCAGUCGAGGAUCUUCGGCAAUGGGCGCAAGCCUGACCGAGCGACGCCGCGUGCGGGAUGAAGGCCUUCGGGUUGUAAACCGCUUUCGGAGGGGAUGAAAUGCGUGGGGGUUCUCCCCCACGUUUGACAUAGCCUCUAAAGAAGUACGGGCUAAGUUCGUGCCAGCCGCCGCGGUAAUAC
rnacentral:rRNA from 1 species